UACGUAGGGUGCAAGCGUUGUCCGGAAUUAUUGGGCGUAAAGAGCUCGUAGGCGGCUUGUUGCGUCGACUGUGAAAACCCGCGGCUCAACCGUGUGGUCUGCAGUCGAUACGGGCAGGCUGGAGUUCGGUAGGGGAGACUGGAAUUCCCGGUGUAGCGGUGAAAUGCGCAGAUAUCGGGAGGAACACCGGUGGCGAAGGCGGUUCUCUGGGCCUGACCUGACGCUGAGGAGCGAAAGCGUGGGGAGCGAACAGGAUUAGAACCCU
rnacentral:rRNA from 1 species